rnacentral:miRNA from 2 species
UGAUAUGUAUGGGUUACUUGGUG